rnacentral:tRNA from 1 species
GACUCGUUGGUGAAAACGGUUAACACACAGGCCUUUCACGCCUGGAUUUGAGGGUUCGAAUCCCUCACGAGCCACCA